rnacentral:rRNA from 1 species
GACGUAGGGCGCGAGCGUUGUCCGGAUUUAUUGGGCGUAAAGAGCUCGUAGGCGGUUUGUUCGCGUCGGCCGUGAAAACCUGCAGCUUAACUGUGGGCCUGCGGCCGAUACGGGCAGACUUGAGUUCGGUAGGGGAGACUGGAAUUCCUGGUGGAGCGGUGAAAUGCGUUGAUAUCGAUAGGAACUCCGGUGGCGAAGGCGGCAUACUGGACCACCACUGACGCUGAUGCGCGAAAGCCAGGGGAGCAAACGGG